UCUCGGAUGCUUUUAAGAUUUUUCUAGGAAGCCAGCGAAAAGAUUAAUCAUGGGUAAGAUUAAUCAGCAUCACAUGACAAAAAAUAACAACCUCUAACCAUACAAUUGUUAAAUUGUAUACCCAACUAAUACAUCUAAGGGCAAAUCACUUUAGAACACGAAACACAAAUUUGUCAAGCUAACCCCAAAUUUCUUUACAUUAACUGUGAUGAUGCAAAAAAUCAAUAGUUGAGCUCCUCGUCGUAGCGGAUGGACGAUGCUAUGAAUGGGGUUGUCUCUGCAGAUGAGAAACCUGCGAAAUGAACUGGGUGGAAGAGUAACACACCGGUGUGGCAUUAGCCAAACAGCCUCCGAUACUUAAGUCAGUAAGGGAGAAAGAUUCUAGAGAAAAAAUGAGUAGAGAAUGAUUACGUAGAAUAUUUUUGUGUACCUUUAGCUUCUGUUAUCUUCUCUUUUAUAGUUGUAUGCCUCAUUAAUGGGCAAUGAUGUGUUGCAGUUCUGCUCAACGGCUAGUGCAUUACAGAAUAAUUUUCUGGAGGCCACAGCUCAUUCUGUGACCGUUGGUCCAUUAGUUACGUUUUGUCAUCAAUGAUCGUAAUAAAUAUGUAAUGUCUUCUCUAGGUGAAUGACGAUCUUUGUAUAAUGACGACCAUAAAUUUCUAGUUCAUCAGCUACCCCUUUGUUCGUUAUCCUGUCUAAAAGACGAGAUUAAAACAAAUUCAUCUGAUGCUUCAUAUUCUGUGUGCUAUGCAUUUAUGAGGAUUUGAUGUCUGGGCGGUUGGGCGCCACGAGUACGGCUAGGAUGUGUUUGACGUGCGAACAUGUCUCGGUUUUCCUGCGUGAGUUUUGGCCACUUGUUUCGCAUUUUUCCCUCCUCUUUACCUUUUUUUUUUUUUUUUGUAUUUUUCCUUAUUCAGUUCUCUGCUCCAGGGUUUAUUUCUCCUCUGAGCUUCCUUUCUCUGUUUAGCAUUUCCUAUUGCCCAGCGUCCUCAUCUAAAGAAGAGGUACCAACUUUGUGUAGAAAAAGUAAGGGAAUAUUUGGAGAGCAUCAAGGAUUUUGAGGAGCUUGUCUCUCUUCAAUCUUUAUUUCUUCAUUUCCUUGGCCCAGAACCAUCUACUAAGGUUCAGAAAGACUUGGAAGUUGUAAAAAAGAUAAUGACAACUAGGUUUAGUAAGCAAAAAUUAGCUGAAGUUCAAGAGAAGAAGGCCAAGAGCGGGACCGCUAGUGGCCUUUUGUCCAUGAAGAAAGCUAGUGAUGUUGUUAAGAAAGAUUCCACAAAAACACCUCCUCCUACCAAGUGCCCUACCUCUCCCACUUUAUCACUGGAGAUGAUUGCCUUUGGUGGAGAGGAGAUUAGCAAAAGGAGGAAAUCUGGUGGGAAAUCUUUCCUUCAUACCUUCUAAGACGAUGCUGAUGCAACAGCUUUGAAGGCCCACGAGGCACUUUCUAUGGACAAUCCUGAGUCCUCUGAUGGCAAAGUCAUCCAAUGAGGUGAUGUCGUCUCAUAUUCAGAAGCUUGUGCAGUAAGCGCUGUAGGCCGCCAUUACUUUUUCUUUUCCUUUGCUUUAUUUCUGCUAAGGGAGGUUCUUUGUAGGCUUUGGGGGAGUCUCUGCUCGUCUCUAGGAAGUUCUUGGACUUGGAAAAGAAGGUGGCUACGUCCGAGCCUUUGAUAAAGUCUUUAUCCACUGAGAAUAAGACGAUGAAGAAUAAGGUUGCCAUCCUCAUUGCUGAAGCUGAGAAUGACAAGGAGCAUGUGGCAAACUUGGAGAAAAGCCUACAAGUGGAGAAGUACUUCUGCAAGUUGAAGUACAAGUAGAUUGGGGACCUGGAGCUGAAGCUACAGAAAGUUGGGGCCAUAGUGGUACAGGAUUUUAAUGUCUUUGAUGAGUACUCUGACAAAUUAUGCAAGUACUAUUUGGAGGGCUUUGAUCUUCUCUUGAAGUGGAUGGCAAAGCAUGGAUCUUUUUGGCUUGGCUAUUAAGGACAUUGAAAAAGAGCUUAUGUCUGAUCAUCCUUCUGAGGCUACAGCAGAGAAUGUGAUGGAGGAAGCCAUAGACGUUGCUAAAGGAAUUAAGGAGGCAACAGUUGUAACCCUUGCAGACCCUAUCCCUAAUGAACAAUAAUCUUUUAUUUUUUCUACUUUCUUGUAUAUUUUUUUCCUUCCAAGGCAAGAACAAUAUUUCUCUUUAGAGCCCGUUGUUUUGGGCAACUAAACAAUUCCUUUGAUGAUAGAUAGAUAGAUUUAUGGAUUUCCUACUUUUAGUUGUAGUAAACAACUUUUUUAUGCUUGGACAACCCUUUACGACGAUGUUAGUUGUGUUGAGACAACUUUUAUGUUUA